CGCCCUGGCCGCUGCGAGUAGCGAGCAACGGACCCCGCCUCUCUACGGUGCCGCUGAUUCCGCGGUGGCUGAUGGGAGUUGUAGGCCGAGGCACACUACAACUGAGGACAGCUUCUUACUUAUUCUGCAUCCCGUACAGGGUUGCUCCUCGUUUGAAUUCUCGAUGAUAAAAUUUGUCAGCACGAAAGGAUCUGUUCCUCCGUCAGUCUGGAUUGCCUUUUAUAUCAGUGGCUGGAAGUACUUCCCUGCAGUUUUUUUUGCUGCUUUGCUCAUUUCCUUUAAUAGUUACCAAAGAACUGCACUUCCAUAAAACAAAGUGAAAACAAAAUAUAAUCUGAAAUGACCAAAAAAAGAGGAGGGAAAAAAAAAGCACCUUCUCUUACUGGCAACUGCCAGGGUCUGAGUUUGUUUUUACAGCUGGGGCUCAUAAAAGUCAUGAACAUGGCUCUGUUCAGUAGGAGUCAAGGUUGUUGUUCAUGCAGAGACCAAGCCCUGAAGUGAAAUUACAAACUUUUUCUGAGCUGUCAUAUGAUGUACAAAAGCAUGAUCCUAAGAAAUACAAAGUAGCAGAUCUGUAUUGUCCAACUCAAAAGUGCCAUACUUUAUCAGAGAACAAUUUAUGCACAAUUUUGCUUUGUUGCUUUCUGAAGCUUUGUAUAAAAAUAGUAAGAAGCCAUAUGUAAAUGAGUAAAAUUCUGUAAAUAUUUUUUUAGCUCAGUGAGUGAGUUGCACUAAGAAAAGCGGAGCUUCUACGGGAACUUUUGAGACUUUUAAAAAACAAUUAUGGAAGGUAAUGUAGCAAAUGUACUCUUUUAAAGCACCUAUCUUUCCUCAUAUGGAUCCUGCUUCCAAACGUGGUGCACCCCCCAAUGCUGUAGUGCCUGUUUCUUAUGCCCACCUUCCCAACAUGUGCAUGCAUGUGUGGAAAAGACUGCAGACACACACAGCUCUCUUCCCCCCCCCUCCCCCCAUGCCUGAAAGAACCCUCAGGUGUUUAUUGGCUCUGGCUACAUGCCUUAGUAGUACUAGUGAAGGAUUCACAAGUGACCUGUUCUGCUAUAAAAUUAUACCUCCCCUAAAGCCCCUGGUCUCUCUGCCCAAGUUGCUAUGUGCUGCAGUUAUUCAGCAGUGCCAUAGGUAAAAUCCCUACACAUCAGCAGGGGUAGUUAUGGGUUUGCAUUCUCAAAAUAAACACAGACCUUAGAAAUAGCCUUCCACAAACACAGUUUUAAAUGGAACCAGCUUGGCCACAUGGUGGCUGCACUUUGUGGAAUCCUUGCCAUUAAAUUCCAUGCUAUAUCAUUUUACUCUAUAGCUAAGAGUGAACUGUGUAUGUUAAAAUAUUCACCAAAACUGCACAGGGGGUAGGGGAAGGAAGAGUGCUACUGAGGCAAAUAGAGCUAAAUAUGAAAAGGUUGGUUUUUUUUUAAAUACAUAAAUUUAGGAGGAAAAAGCUUGGAGGUGAACUGCUUUCUAAUAAACAGCUGCAUCACAGUAAGCUGCAACUGCCACAGUUAAAAGUCUACUGGUAGUGCAAAGCACCAUGUACUUGCCUUCUGUGGGGCAGGGUCUACCAGCUGUAAUCAGGGGGCAGUGGCACGCACCCCUUUAAGCU